rnacentral:lncRNA from 1 species
UUUCGAUUGUAACUGGGACAAUUUGCAUAGUGAUUCCCUUUCAGAGCUUUCUCGGGCCCAUAACAAGCGCAGGCAGCUAUUCAAAUGCAAGUUGCGUCCCCAAUUGCGCCGCUGGCCUGAGCUAAAGGAGCAGCUCCUCACUGUUCGAGACGAGACCAGCGUUGGGGUUCUGGGUCACCUCUUUUCUCCCGGCUUUUCCCUUGCUCUCUGGUUCCUGAAUUAGCUGUUUGUUUAUGGCUCCAGACGUGUGUGUGCCAGCGAGCCGAGGCAACGCGCGAGGGAGGGAAUUGAUCUUUCCCCAGACUCAAAGCUGGAGCCGAAGAAGUGCGGGGGAUUUGGGGGUUCUGAGUGGGACUCAGACCCUGGGUGCUGAGGGGAAGCCCGUGGGCUCUCUGGCCCGCUUCUCUAACCUCAGCGACCUUGCAGGAAUCCUCAGGCCUGAGAGCGCCCAGGCUCUGGGCUUUGCAGAAAGUGGCGGCGGCUGUGUCCCGGGUUUUAAAAUCUACGCAAAGAAAGGAGGCAAAGCUGAAAGCUUGUCGCGUGUCAGAAGCAACCUGCCGUGAAAUCCGCUAAUGCGCCCCGACUCGCCCUUCGCGGAACAGUCGUUCAAGAAGAGAUGGCCACAAGGGCAGAUCAAUCAUUUCAAUGGGAUUAAAAUAUGGUGACAGAAACAGUUGGGCUGAGAUUAUUUCAACCCAUCCUUUUGGUCUUACAAGAGAUGCAAGCACUCUAUACUACUGGAAAGGAGUUCAAGAAAGAAAAGAGAAGAAAAGAAAAGAAGGAAGGUAGAUUUGGUUUCUAGAAAAUAUUUUGUAUUUGAAUGUAUCUGAAGCAAUGAUAAAUAAAUUAAAUUAGUAUUA